UGGCCAAGAAGGCCAAUGACAUCCUGUCUUGGAUCAGGAAUGGUGUGGUGAGCAGCACUAGGGAAGUUACCCCAACAAUGUCACUGCCCAGCAUCACUCCCAGAGGUCACCCCCCAGUGAUACCUCAUUGCUAUUCAAUGUCACUCCCUAACAUUACCCUACUGUCGCUCCAACGUCAUCACCCCCCAACAAUUGUCACUGCCUAAUAUCACUAGUAUCAUCCCUACAUCAUCCGGACAAGUUCCCUCAGCACCACCAUCACUCCAGUGUCUCCCCUCAAGCAUCACUCCUUGAUGUUAAACCCCACUGAUAUCUCAACACAAUUCCCAGCACUGUCACCCCUCAGCACCACUCCCUGAUGUCACCGUCAAUGAUACCCCAUCACUCUCCAACAUCCCUUCCCAACAUCAACUCUGGCAUCACCUCUCAACAGCAUCACACCCACAUCAGCCAACAGUUUCACCCCAAUAGUGUCACUCCUUGAUGUCACUCCCCAGUAUCACCCCAGUAUCACCCCCGUGUCACCAUAAUCCCCGUAAAUAGGAAGCAGAACUUCCCCAAACAAGUGCACUAUUACUUUCUGACCCUUGAGAGACGGCAAACUGAGAGAAAAGGAACAUGCUGUCAGUGGAUGCGAUAGGCAGUGCCAGCAGGGCAUCCCCUCAACUUGGCCUUUCACCCCCACUGCAGCCUCUCUUCUGCUUUGAUUCUCCUCAGGAUCUGCAGGGUUUGUUCCACUGCACACUGUACUGGCAUGGCCAUUGCAUGGUACGGAGCUCAAGUGGAAGAGAACCCCCGACAGCCUCGCCUCCAACAACCAACCUCAUCCUCAGCAACCAACCUUGCCCCCCAACCACCUCACCCCAUUGUCACUUCCUGAUAUUCCCCCCAGUGUCACCCCUACAAUAUCACACCCCAGCAUCACUCCCCAACGUGACCUCAGGGUCCCUACCCCUGAUCAUCCCAACAUCAGCCCCCAGCAUCAUUCCCUGACGUCCCCCUCAGUGAUACCCUUCCAUUGCCACAGUGUCACCCCCACAUUCUCACCUCCACAAUGAGCUGGAAAGCACAGCAGCAACAGCAGAGCAGAUAAUCCCUGGGUUGCAGCAAAUGAAGAUCAGCUCCAGCGCAGCAUGAAUGGGCACAGAAAUAAAACUACUCCACAUUGAAAGACCUCAGGUUGGCAGGAAUCCACAGCAAAAGCCCCAUGCUUCCUUUGCCAGCCCUUAAAUGAGGGUUGGGAAGGAAUGGAUUUGGUUCCACCCCUUUCAUCACUCAGCAACACUGCAUGCACCUUUGCUCCCCUGCAGCAGAAAUGGGGUACUGCAGUACAUCGGUGAUCUGUGAUUGCAGGAGCGCAGGCGCUGCAUGCAGUACGCACACUGCAGCCUCCCUACUUCUUUGGGGUUUGGGAUUGACACUUGAGCCCAAAAGCCACACAUUGCCAUACAGGCAGGUGCCAGGUUCACCGACUGAGGACACCGAAUCCUGAAAUACUUUCAUGAUGGUCUUUAAUUGCAAAGAGAACAGAUAAUGCACAUUUCUCACUAGGGAGCCAUAUGCUGAUCCUAGCAGUUUGGCCAACAGCACUCGCUCCAUUCACACCGACAAUCUCAACCCUUUGCUUCCCAGGCUGCACACACAGCUUCUCUAUAUCUUGCUGUGUCAGUAUUGAAAUCUGUGCUCUCCUAUCUAUUAGAAAUGUCACCAACUGUCUCUGAGGACAGAUUGGGAUCAAAAUUCGUGAGCUGUCAUAGCUCAUCCACUGAUAAACCUCCCCUUGCUAGACAGGUGGACCCAAUUGCCUGCCAGUCAUUAUUAUUAUUUUUUUUUCUUCAUGCCUUUAUGGGAACUGUGAGGUCACACCUGAAGCAGUGAUUGAGCACCUGGUGAGGGGUGUAGCCCUGCGAGCACAGGUGGAAGCAAUUCUCCUGUGGGACCGGAUAGGACUGAGCCUGGCUCCAUCCCUCCCUGAUUGCAUUUAAGGGCUGGCAGCCACAGGGGUAGCAUCUCUUCAUGGAGACUGCUUUCUUGGGAUCAUUGGGUGAGCCUUUGGAGAGGGUGUGUGAUCCUUUCUUUAUUUCAAGGCUGUGGGCUUCCCUUUUUGUUAGAUCCUGACCACAUUUAAGGGCUGAUAGCUGUAAGGGUAGAAUCUGUACCUGGAGGCUGUUUCUUUUGGUGUGUGGCAUGUGUUUCCUUCUUUACUGCAGGGCUGUUAUCUUCCCUUUUUGGUGUAUUCUGACCACUUUUAAGAGUUGGCAGCUGUAAGGGCAGUAACUCUACUUGGUGACUACUUUCUUUAGCACGUGGGGUGAGCCCUUGCAAUGGGAUGAGUUUCUUCUUUAUUUCAGGGCUGUGAUAUCUACUUCUUGGGGGGAUCCUGACCACAUUUAAGGGUUGGUAUCUCUCCCUGGAGGCUGCCUCUUUGGCUGUAAGGACAGAAUCUCUACCUAAAGAUUGCUUCCUUCAGAGUGUGGGGUUGAUGGAGUUUAAGGAUUGCCAGGGUUCCUCUAAUCAGUGGUGUGAGAACUGUGGAGCAGAUAAUCACGAGCCACAUGUUGGUGCAUUGCUUGUAUGCAGCCAUAUUUGUGAUGACUGUGGGGAAACUCACUUAAGGCUCGAGUAGGGUUAAAAGGGGCUUGCUUCACUCCACGGGUUCUGUGCUCCCAUCCCAAUGAGCUCCAUGGCUGCUGAUAGAGCGAGGUGCAUCAGCUGGCACCCGAAGAACACUCCCAAACCCCAGUGGCCGUUUGCUUCAUCCUCGCUCAGAAUAAUACAGUCUGCGCUGCUUGAGCAUACUGACCACACGUGUUCUGUUCAUAUUUUAUGAUUGUCUCUGAUAUUUUCCUUACAGAUUUGUCAGCGAUAAUGGAUUCCAGGGCAUCGUUGUCAGGGCAUAUUGUGGCCAACCACCCCAGGGUCCUACAGCUCUUUCUAUUUUAAUGGCAGAUCUGGCUUUGUGAUAAUAAAAAAGAAAGGAUUGUCGUCUUCUGGAUGACUACAGUCAGGAUCUCCCCAGAUAUCUCAUCCCAUUUGCCAGGGGAUGCUAUUAAUUUCCCAAACUCCCACCCCUCUUCCUUCCAUCCCCUGACCCACAUUAAGUAGCUCUGCAGCUCCGGGACCCAACAGUGUGACAAAAUGUGGCCCCUGAUCUGCUGAAUGCUGGGUCUGGUGUGGAGAGGCUCUGUGACUGAUGUGGAUCAUCCCAACUGGAGUACUUGGUGCCAUUUACGAUGAUCUGGUCUGAUUCCUCCACAAUGAACAAUGACAUCCACAGGUUGAUCAGGUUGCUCAGAGCC